GAUGACUUGUGGCUAGGGGUGAAAGGCCAAUCAAACUCGGAGAUAGCUGGUUCUCCCCGAAAGCUAUUUAGGUAGCGCCUCGGACGAAUACUACUGGGGGUAGAGCACUGUUAAGGCUAGGGGGUCAUCCCGACUUACCAACCCUUUGCAAACUCCGAAUACCAGUAAGUACUAUCCGGGAGACACACGGCGGGUGCUAACGUCCGUCGUGGAGAGGGAAACAACCCAGACCGCCAGCUAAGGUCCCAAAGUAUUGCUAAGUGGGAAACGAUGUGGGAAGGCUCAGACAGCUAGGAUGUUGGCUUAGAAGCAGCCAUCAUUUAAAGAAAGCGUAAUAGCUCACUAGUCGAGUCGGCCUGCGCGGAAGAUGUAACGGGGCUAAGCAAUACACCGAAGCUGCGGCAAUGUCUUUUAGACAUUGGGUAGGGGAGCGUUCUGUAAGCCGUUGAAGGUGAAUCGUAAGGUUUGCUGGAGGUAUCAGAAGUGCGAAUGCUGACAUGAGUAACGACAAAGGGGGUGAAAAACCUCCUCGCCGGAAGACCAAGGGUUCCUGUCCAACGUUAAUCGGGGCAGGGUGAGUCGACCCCUAAGGUGAGGCCGAAAGGCGUAAUCGAUGGGAAACGGGUUAAUAUUCCCGUACUUCUGACUAUUGCGAUGGGGGGACGGAGAAGGCUAGGUGGGCCAGGCGACGGUUGUCCUGGUUCAAGUGCGUAGGCUUGAGAGUUAGGUAAAUCCGGCUCUCUCUAAGGCUGAGACACGACGUCGAGCUACUACGGUAGUGAAGUCAUUGAUGCCAUGCUUCCAGGAAAAGCCUCUAAGCUUCAGAUAGUCAGGAAUCGUACCCCAAACCGACACAGGUGGUCGGGUAGAGAAUACCAAGGCGCUUGAGAGAACUCGGGUGAAGGAACUAGGCAAAAUGGUACCGUAACUUCGGGAGAAGGUACGCUCUUGAUGGUGAAGUCCCUCGCGGAUGGAGCUGACGAGAGUCGCAGAUACCAGGUGGCUGCAACUGUUUAUUAAAAACACAGCACUGUGCAAAAUCGCAAGAUGACGUAUACGGUGUGACGCCUGCCCGGUGCCGGAAGGUUAAUUGAUGGGGUUAGCGCAAGCGAAGCUCUUGAUCGAAGCCCCGGUAAACGGCGGCCGUAACUAUAACGGUCCUAAGGUAGCGAAAUUCCUUGUCGGGUAAGUUCCGACCUGCACGAAUGGCGUAAUGAUGGCCACGCUGUCUCCACCCGAGACUCAGUGAAAUUGAAAUCGCUGUGAAGAUGCAGUGUACCCGCGGCUAGACGGAAAGACCCCGUGAACCUUUACUACAGCUUGGCACUGAACAUUGAACCUACAUGUGUAGGAUAGGUGGGAGGCUAUGAAGACGUGACGCCAGUUGCGUUGGAGCCGUCCUUGAAAUACCACCCUUGUAUGUUUGAUGUUCUAACUUAGACCCAUUAUCUGGGUUGAGGACAGUGCCUGGUGGGUAGUUUGACUGGGGCGGUCUCCUCCCAAAGAGUAACGGAGGAGCACGAAGGUGGGCUAAUCACGGUUGGACAUCGUGAGGUUAGUGCAAUGGCAUAAGCCCGCUUAACUGCGAGAAUGACGGUUCGAGCAGGUGCGAAAGCAGGUCAUAGUGAUCCGGUGGUUCUGUAUGGAAGGGCCAUCGCUCAACGGAUAAAAGGUACUCCGGGGAUAACAGGCUGAUACCGCCCAAGAGUUCAUAUCGACGGCGGUGUUUGGCACCUCGAUGUCGGCUCAUCACAUCCUGGGGCUGAAGUCGGUCCCAAGGGUAUGGCUGUUCGCCAUUUAAAGUGGUACGCGAGCUGGGUUUAGAACGUCGUGAGACAGUUCGGUCCCUAUCUGCCGUGGGCGUUGGAAGAUUGAAGGGGGCUGCUCCUAGUACGAGAGGACCGGAGUGGACGAACCUCUGGUGUUCGGGUUGUGUCGCCAGACGCAUUGCCCGGUAGCUAAGUUCGGAAUUGAUAAGCGCUGAAAGCAUCUAAGCGCGAAGCGAGCCCUGAGAUGAGUCUUCCCUGACAGUUUAACUGUCCUAAAGGGUUGUUCGAGACUAGAACGUUGAUAGGCAGGGUGUGUAAGCGUUGUGAGGCGUUGAGCUAACCUGUACUAAUUGCCCGUGAGGCUUAACCAU
rnacentral:rRNA from 1 species